AGAGUAGGCGCAGGUGGUUGCGGAUUUGCUGUUAUAGCGAAUCUGAGGAAAGUCCGGACUCCCGAAAGGCCAAACUUGCUGGGUAACGCCCAGUGCGGGCGACCGUGAGGAUAGUGCCACAGAAACAUACCGCCAAAGCAGUGCUGAACAAUGAGUGCUGUUAGUUUACAGGGCGUCAGCCCGUGCUGAGAAAAGAAAAGUCUCAGACUCAGCACUCAGGACUCAGAAGUGUUUUGGUAAGGGUGCAAAGGUGCGGUAAGAGCGCACCAGCAGCAUCGAGAGGUGCUGGCUCGGUAAACCCCGGUUGGGAGCAAGGUAGAAAGGAACUACGGUUGGUCUUUUACCAGUUCCUAGCAAUAAAACCGCUUGAGGCGUCUGGUAACAGCCGUCCCAGAUAGAUAACCGCCCUCCCAGCAGCAUUGCUGCUGCGGAGAACAGAACCCGGCUUAUGUCCGACUCUUUCC
rnacentral:RNase_P_RNA from 1 species